ACGGAGCUCAGAAGGCCUUUACGAGCUGUGCAGUGCACAUGUGGGGCGCUUAAGUGGACGAGUGUGUUCCGGUGGUCUCCGGUGGGCGGUGUAAUUCUGUAGUGCUUCUCGGUGCAAUAAAAAGUAUAUAGUUUAAUAUUAGGUUGGAGUGACGUUGCAAUUGAAUUGGCUUUGUGUCACGUCCAUGCUUUGAAAUUCAAACUAUUCGCGAUUUUCAGAACGCCAUCUUGGGUAAGUGAAGGAAAGAUUGCUUUCGAUGACGAUGGGAAAAAGUGCACAUUCGAGUUUUGCCUGAAAAUAAACCAUAACCUCAAUAGACUGGUUUUUUUUUGUGUGUGUAUGCGGACUCCUGCUUGAGUUUCAUGUGUACUCAUUGUCUUAGUGUGCGUGGAAAAAACAUGCAAAUCUGCAAGCGUAGUGCCUGCAUAAUUGCAAAAGAACACUUUGGAUUUAGCUGCACCUGUAUCAUUGACAUAGACCUAUGAUGAGGGUGUGUGUAUUCACUACAAUGGAACCGUGUAACCAAUUUUGAUAUUUGCACUUAAAACAUAUCAGCACAUGUAACCAACCCUUUGCCUUGUGGGAUACCCUGUCACACCCCAACUCUUUCCAUACCCACAUAGUAAGGUUGUGUGCCCCUUUGAUUUGUAGAAGAAUUUUGUUUCGUGUAGAAUUGUUGACUGUUUAUUGCUACACACUGCGCAGGGCGGCACUGGUAGGUAUACCUGGGGGCUUGAAGAGAGAGAUGGGUUGUGGUACAUCCAAAGCUGUACCUAUCGUGGUGGACCAAGAUGCUCCCGAGAACCUGAAGGAGGCCCAUCUCAUCUCUGACGCCCAAGAAGGACUACUCACUUGUAUCGAUUCCCCGGACAAGGUAUCCGAUCCCGUGGAAGUGGAGGAAUCCUCUUCUUCUUCUUCGCCUCUUGCCGCCAGGACGAACGGCAUCGAACCUUCUCUUCCUCAGGCGAACGGAGAAGUUCUUCCUCCUCAGGUAGGGGAAGAGGAGGUAAAGCAGGAGGAGGAGGAGGAGAAAGAGGGGGAGGAGGAGGAGGAGGAGGAGGAAGAAGAAGAGGAGGAAGAGAAAGACGCCCUCGCUGACCUUUCCCAUUCAGCGGGAGGAAGGGCUGUGGCCUUCGAAGUUACAACACCCGAGGAGGAGGCGGAGUCCCUCAUCAAGAGGCACCCCCCGAGGAAAUUCCAGAGGCUCGAGGACCAGCAAACAGCAGAGCUUAGAACUCACGCAGGAGCUGCUGGAGGAGAAACAGGUCGAAGCUGAGAAGAGGAGACAAGAGAUCCUAAGCCAACGCGUCCAGAGCGCCAAGCAGCGCACUGCUAGGAGCGCUGGGCGCAUGCGCACUCGACCUGACGAUGGUGAUGAUGUGGAGCAGGAAGACGGCCUCAGCAAGCGUUACCCUUAAGCGAAACCUCCAUCAAAGCAACCGUCAGCAUUCCAGCUGGAAGGUGGAAUGAUCGAGAGUGCUGACAGCAUCACAACAGAGAAUGAACUGUAAGAGAGUCAUCUGACAGUUCCCAGCAUCAUCCUUUGCAACACUCUGUAGGAGAGGGAUCUUUGUUUUCAAGAAAAAAAAAUAAGGCACAACGCUAAAAGCCGGCCUUAUCAACCUCCCCCCUUUAUAAUAAUAUAACAAUAAAGGAGAAUAUUAAAGGAUUUUGAAAAAGCUCCACCAAAACAAAGCGCACACUUCCUUGCUACAUACAGAAUCUCAUCUGAUAUCCUGUUUCUUUUUGUUUUUUUUUGCUCUCAUUAGGAUUUUUUUCUGAUCUUGUGGAAGACAUUAGUAUUUAAUUAAAUCUAGGAUACGCUAAAUGUUAAGCCUCAAUUAGCCCGUAAUCUUUUAAAAGAAGGUGCUUGGGGUGGUUUUCAUAGUGGGCAGAUAACUGCCGUUAUGACUAGAUCCAGUGCAUGCACAGGGCAAGUCUGUUUUUAUGUGGUUGCUGUGAAAAACAGCCCAAGCAUCAAUUCUCGGAAGAAAAGCGAGAAAAAUCAUUCGACCAAGUGUUAUUUCCUUUCCAUCCCUUCAUAAUUAUUGAUCGAGCAACACAGAUCGGAAUCUCAACUGCAAAGGCUUUAGAAUAUAAGAAAAUAAAAAAGUUAAAAAAAAACUGAGUGUUAUCUGUAUAGCCUGGAAAAUGGAAGUCAAACUCUGGAAAGGGACAAAGUUCUUGGUUUAUGGUGAAGUGAUCGAGAAAAUCAAUUCCAAAAAGAAGAAAAAGGAAAGUGCCUCGUUGACAAUGUGUCUCAACAAAUGAAAAAAUUAUCAAGAAUUUGCCAAUUUUUUAUAUUUAUCCAAUAUUCUUAAUCUGUAGAUUUAAAGGUGACAAUCGAAGCUGAAGGUUUCACUUGAAAUGUAUUUUCCAGCUGGAAUGCACAAAUAUCUCGUCUUCACUUCCGAAUUAUUUUUUUUAUUUGGUUGACAUCAUUACAACACGUCAAGUAUGCAGGUGCCCUGUCUCUUACGAUUCAUCUUGAUAAAACAAAAUAUGCCAUGCUUGAGUUAUUCAGGAAAACCUCGAAUUAUUUAACACUAAGCUCUCUGAUAAUAAUAGGCAGUCAAAGGACUUUCUCUCAAGGUUCAAGAGAACGACGAAUUGAAAUAAGUAAAUAUCUAUUUAAAAUUCGUUGAGGUGCUCAGCUCUGAAUUUUAGUCAUUUAUCAACAAUAUAUGACUUUUGUCUAGUCAUGUCUUAGAUUUCAAAACUACUAAAAAUAGCAUAACACUUUAGAGCAGUUGAUGCAUUUAUACCUGAUUUUGGUACCCAUCAUUUUGAGUCUUGUACUCUAUUCAGAAGUUUGCUUUUUCAUCCUUAAAGGGAGAAUCCUCUACUCUAAACAUUAAUGUAACAUUCAUCGUAUCUUCGUCCAUAUAGUGUUUGCUUUGGAAAAUGUCAGGGUGAUGGAAAUUAUUGUAAUUUAAACCGUGUAUCAGUUGUUUCCAAAUAUACAGAUACAUUUCAAA